GCCGACUUAGCUCAGCUGGUAGAGCAACUGAUUUGUAAUCAGUAGGUCGCGGAUUCGACUUCUGCAGUCGGCA
rfam:Brochothrix campestris FSL F6-1037 c70, whole genome shotgun sequence.